rnacentral:rRNA from 1 species
AGAGUUUGAUCAUGGCUCAGAAUCAACGCUGGCGGCGCGCUUAACACAUGCAAGUCGCGUGCGCAGUUUCCGUAGCAAUACGGGGAUCGGCGCACGGCGCACGGGUGCGUAACACGUGGGCAAUCUGCCCUCCGAUGGGGAAUACCCCCGCGAAAGCGGGACUAAUUCCGCAUAACAUUCCUUGGAUUAAUUUUCGAGGAUUCAAAGCAGCAAUGCGUCGGAGGAGGAGCCCGCGCCCGAUUAGCUAGUUGGUGAGGUAACGGCUCACCAAGGCAAUGAUCGGUAGCUGGUCUGAGAGGAUGGCCAGCCACACUGGAACUGAGACACGGUCCAGACUCCUACGGGAGGCAGCAGUGGGGAAUCUUGCACAAUGGGCGAAAGCCUGAUGCAGCGACGCCGCGUGGGGGAUGAAGCUUUUCGGAGUGUAAACCCCUUUCGACUGGGACGAAUGCCUCGCAAGAGGAGUGACGGUACCAGUAUAAGAAGCCCCGGCUAACUACAUGCCAGCAGCCGCGGUAAGACGUAGGGGGCCAGCGUUGUUCGGAAUUACUGGGUGUAAAGGGUUCGUAGGCGGUGUGGCAAGUCGGGAGUGAAAUCUCUGGGCUCAACCCAGAGACUGCUUCCGAAACUGCUGUGCUUGAGUGUGAGAGAGGCUCGUGGAAUUGCAGGUGUAGCGGUGAAAUGCGUAGAUAUCUGCAGGAACACCCGUGGCGAAAGCGGCGAGCUGGAUCACUACUGACGCUGAGGAACGAAAGCUAGGGGAGCAAACAGGAUUAGAUACCCUAGUAGUCC